rnacentral:tRNA from 2 species
UUCUGCGUAGUUUAGUGGCUAUGACGGGUCCUUGUCAUUUGACUUGGUUCGGACCAGACCCGGGUUCAAUUCCCGGCGCGGAAG